GCUGGGGUAGCUCAGUCAGCAGAGCAUAAGACAUUUAAUCUCAGGGUCAUAUGUUUGAGCCCCACCUUGGGCA